UACGAAGGGGGCUAGCGUUGCUCGGAAUCACUGGGCGUAAAGCGCACGUAGGCGGCUUUCUAAGUCAGGGGUGAAAUCCUGGAGCUCAACUCCAGAACUGCCUUUGAUACUGAGAGGCUUGAGUCCGGAAGAGGUGAGUGGAACUCCGAGUGUAGAGGUGAAAUUCGUAGAUAUUCGGAAGAACACCAGUGGCGAAGGCGGCUCACUGGCCGGUACUGACGCUGAGGUGCGAAAGCGUGGGGAGCAACAGGGAUUAAGAACCG
rnacentral:rRNA from 1 species